AUGUAUUAGGCCUAUAGAACCGGCCCCUCCAGGUAGGGGCCUAUAGAACCGGCCCCUCCAGGUAGGGGCCUAUAGAACCGGCCCCUCCAGGUAGGGGCCUAUAGAACCGGCCCCUCCAGGUAGGGGCCUAUAGAACCGGCCCCUCCAGGUAGGGGCCUAUAGAACCGGCCCCUCCAGGUAGGGGCCUAUACAACCGGCCCCUCCAGGUAGGGGCCUAUACAACCGGCCCCUCCAGGUAGGGGCCUAUACAACCGGCCCCUCCAGGUAGGGGCCUAUACAACCGGCCCCUCCAGGUAGGGGCCUAUACAACCGGCCCCUCCAGGUAGGGGCCUAUACAACCGGCCCCUCCAGGUAGGGGCCUAUAGAACCGGCCCCUCCAGGUAGGGUCCAGGUAGGGGCCUAUAGAACCGGCCCCUCCAGGUAGGGGCCUAUACAACCGGCCCCUCCAGGUAGGGGCCUAUACAACCGGCCCCUCCAGGUAGGGGCCUAUACAACCGGCCCCUCCAGGUAGGGGCCUAUACAACCGGCCCCUCCAGGUAGGGGCCUAUACAACCGGCCCCUCCAGGUAGGGGCCUAUACAACCGGCCCCUCUAGGUAGGGCCUAUACAACCGGCCCCUCUAGGUAGGGCCUAUACAACCGGCCCCUCUAGGUAGGGGCCUAUACAACCGGCCCCUCUAGGUAGGGCCUAUACAACAGGCCCCUCUAGGUAGGGCCUAUACAACAGGCCCCUCUAGGUAGGGCCUACACAUCCGGCCCCUCUAGGUAGGGCCUAUACAACCAGCCCCUCUAGGUAGGGCCUAUACAACCAGCCCCUCUAGGUAGGGCCUAUACCACCAGCCCAGGUCACUCUAGGUAGGGCCUAUACCACCAGCCCAGGUCCAUCUAGGUAGGGCCUAUACCACCAGCCCAGGUCCAUCUAGGUAGGGCCUAUACCACCAGCCCAGGUCACUCUAGGUAGGGCCUAUACCACCAGCCCAGGUCCCUCUAGGUAGGGCCUAUACCACCAGCCCAGGUCCCUCUAGGUAGGGCCUAUACCACCAGCCCAGGUCCAUCUAGGUAGGGCCUAUACAACCAGCCCCUCUAGGUAGGGCCUAUACCACCAGCCCAGGUCCCUCUAGGUAGGGCCUAUACCACCAGCCCAGGUCACUCUAGGUAGGGCCUAUACAACCAGCCUUAGGCCCUCUCCCCUUCACCGGAUAUAGACUACAUUACCCUCAGAGUCCUAA